CAGAUUAGCAACACAGCUGGAAAGCUGUCCAUUCGCGUAUCUUUCCGAUUAAAUCCAUGUUAAUCAACAGCUCAAACAAUAAUGGCCCUUCUGCCAAACUCCCGUCAAGAGCAUUUUAUUCAGAUUAGUCAAGACCCUCAAGGAGGUAUUUUUUUAUUAGCAAACUAUUUAAUUCGCUGUGGACUAACAAGGGGGGUGAGGGCAGCAAUGAAAGCGGGUGUCCUGGGGUGCAGCUCAGCACUGCCAGAUCCCAGCCAGCCCUGCCAGCCCCGGGACCCUGGGUCUCCCUGGGGUUGUAGGAUGGGGGCGAUAAGGGCACCUGCCAACCUGGAGGGCAGAGGGCAUUAAGCGGGAGAUCUCACACGGGCCCUGAAGACAGCACCUGGCAAUAGUAGGUGUUCCAUACAAAUUAGCUGCUAUUCUGUCGCUGUCAUUACUUCUCUUUCUCCCCCUGCUUUUGUGCCUUAGGCCUUCACUUCCUUUUCUUCCAGUCACUCCUUAACCCUUGGCUUUCUGGCCCCUGACUUCCACUCUCGAAUGGUUUCCUUUCCGAGAUCUCACCUCCUUUUCAGCCACCUGCCUUGACCUCUCUGUAUUUUCGCACCACCGACCACCUUUUUCCUCGGCAGCCCCGCCUCCUUGGCUGUUCUGCCUUGAGACGAAAGUAGUAAGAGUGCUUGUCUUGCCCUCGUCUGCUGCCACCGUCUCCUCGCAGGCCUUCCCCGGGCUCCAGCCUUGACUUCCCAUCCUUUCUGGUCCUCAGGUGUCCGUCCACGCCUUUCUCCUCCUCCCAGCCUCCUCCCAUCUUCACGCUCCAUCCCCCACUCCCCACCACCCAUCCAGGUUCCCCAACUGAGACCCAGGAAGCAGCCUUCUUCAGGUCGCUUUCUUCUUGCUCCACGGCCGGUUGGAAUCAAGCCCAGGGGAGUCUGUCUUCUUCAGCGUCUCCCACCUCUAGUCCCUCUGUCUGUCCCCCUUUCCCCUUAAACGCUUGUGCCAUCAUUUGUCACUCUGCCGACGCUGGAGUGGUUUCCGGGCUUUGGACAGCACGCCCCAUGGUCAGUGCUCCAGAGGGACCUUUUUCCUUUUCUCCCACAUCAAAUCAGCCGAGUUCCAUUGCAUCUGUGUCCGAAUUAUGUCUCCAGCCAAUCCAUUCGUCUCUGCCUCUACAGCCAGCGGCUGACCGGGUUCUUGUUCUUUCUGGGUUCUUCUAUUAAUUCUUACCUGGCCUUCUGAUCCCAAGUCUUCUAGACCCUCUCCACGGUCCAUCUACCUCCUCGUUAAACCGUGUAGGGGCCUCAGCACUGGAUAAGGUGCAGGUCAGCUGCAAGGUGUGCAAGAGCUCCCGGGCGGCCUCUCCGGCUCCCCCCUCCCCCCAUCUGUCUCCCCUCCUCCCUCUGCUCCAGCCACAGACGGAGGCAUUUGCAGUUCAGGAAGCUGACUUUCAGGAAACUGACCUUAUUUUGCGCCUCUGUGCCCCCCCCCCCCCCGCCGUGCUUACCGCUCACUGUCCCCCAGCUUGGAGCACCCCAUCCCCUCCUCUCCCCAGAGGACACCCAUGUGUCCCCUGCGAUUCGGGGGAGUGUGUCACCCCAUUCUGGGGUCUUUCUCCAACAUCCAGAUCCCUUUUUGCUUCGUCCCUCCCAUCACCUAGCUCUGUGUUUUCCAUUAUUUCUACCUCCAGCCAAGGUCGCCUGCUCUGUCCCCUUAACCUCCAAUGGGCCCCUACCCCGACUGUCAUUUGUUCUCUCCAUCACCUGGCUAGGCCCCAGGCGUCAUCUCAGCCCUCCCUUCUUCACCUCCCCUCUUCACCUCCCACUCCUGGUCCCCCAGCUCUUUUCCGUCAGUUCUUGCUCUGAAGUGGCUCCUGAUCACCUGUUCUCCAGCCAUAUGACCGACACCCACCCACACCCCCCAGAUCAGGCCCUCGUCCCUUUGAUUUUCCAUGGGUAGUGGUGAGAGUUCUUGGAGGUACAGCCUUAGUCUGUUGACCUUUCAGUCCCAUCAUCUGAUGGUCCUGUGUGUGCUAUGAUCCAGCCACGCUAGAAUCCUUCCUGGUCUCUGAACAGGGCCCAUAACUUGGGGCAACUGUGUCUUGGCAUCUGCUGUUUCUUUUUUUUUCUUUUUCUUUUGCCAUUUCUCGGGCUGCUCCCGCGGCAUAUGGAGGUUCCCAGGCUAGGGGUCUAAUCGGAGCUGUGGCCACCGGCCUACGCCAGAGCCACAGCAACACGGGAUCAGAGCCGCAACCUGCAGCACAGCCCAGUUCCCGCGUCGUCGGGAACUCCUGCAUCUGCUGUUUCUAAUCCCAGUCUCCACCUAGGGAAUUUCUGGCCUUUCUCCAUGGUUCAGCCCCAUCACUUUCUCUUCCCUGGGGCUUUCCCCAAUUGUUCUUUUUUUGUUUGUUUGCCUUGGCUUUUUAGGGCCGCACCUGAGGCACAUGGAGGUUCCUGGGCUAGGGGUCCAAUCCGAGCUACAGCUGCUGGCCUACACCACAGCCACAGCAACGCCAGAUCCUUAACCCACUGAGUGAGGCCUCAUGGAUCCUAGUCGGGUUUGUUACCACUAAGCCAGAACAGGAACUCCCAGAAAUUAUUCGUUUUUUGUAUCACUUCUCCACUAUAGAACCUAGCACGACCAUAUGCAUGUGUAUGUGCGUGUGGGAGUGUGUUAUUCUAUCAUCACUGUAAUCAAUUUUGUAUAUAUGUACACAUAUAUGUAUAUAAACUUCACUGAGAUGUAACUUACAUACUAUAAAUUCACCCCAUAAAAGCAUACAGUUCAGGAGUUCCCAUCGUGGCGCAGUGGUUAACAAAUCUGACUAGGAACCAUGAGGUUGCAGGUUCAAUCCCUGGCCUUGCUCAGUGGGUUAAGGAUCCACCGUUGCUGUGAGAUGUGGUGUAGGUCGCAGACUCGGCUCGGAUCCUCAGUUGCUGUGGCUCUGGCGUAGGCCGGCAACUCCAGCUCCGAUUAGACCCCUAGCCUGGGAAUCUCCAUAUGCCCCGGGAGUGGCCCUAGAAAAGGCAAAAAGACAAAAAUAAAUAAAUAAAUAAAUAAAUAAGUAAGUAAAUGCAUACAGUUCAGGAGUUCCUGUCAUGGCUUAGCAGAAAUGAGCCCAACUAGUAUCCAUGAGAAUGCAGGUUUGAUCCUUCCUGGGUUAAGGAUCUGGUGUUGCCGUGAGCUGCAGUGUAGGUCGCAGACACAUCUCAGAUUCAGUAUUUCUGUGGCUGUGGUGUAGGCCGGCAGCAGCAGCGCUGAUUCAACUCCUAGUCUGGGAACCUCC
rnacentral:lncRNA from 1 species